rnacentral:rRNA from 1 species
UCUAUGACGUUAGCGGCGGACGGGUGAGUAACACGUGGGCAACCUGCCUGUAAGACUGGGAUAACUCCGGGAAACCGGAGCUAAUACCGGAUAACAUUUUCUCUUGCAUAAGAGAAAAUUGAAAGAUGGUUUCGGCUAUCACUUACAGAUGGGCCCGCGGUGCAUUAGCUAGUUGGUGAGGUAACGGCUCACCAAGGCAACGAUGCAUAGCCGACCUGAGAGGGUGAUCGGCCACACUGGGACUGAGACACGGCCCAGACUCCUACGGGAGGCAGCAGUAGGCAAUCUUCCGCAAUGGACGAAAGUCUGACGGAGCAACGCCGCGUGAGUCAUGAAGGCUUUCGGGUCGUAAAACUCUGUUGUUAGGGAAGAACAAGUACAAGAGUAACUGCUUGUACCUUGACGGUACCUAACCAGAAAGCCACGGCUAACUACGUGCCAACAGCCGCGGUAAUACGUAGGUCGCAAGCGUUAUCCGGAAUUAUUGGGCGUAAAGCGCGC